GAUGAAGAACGCAGCGAAAUGCGAUAAGUAAUGUGAAUUGCAGAAUUCAGUGAAUCAUCGAAUCUUUGAACGCACAUUGCGCCCGCCAGUAUUCUGGCGGGCAUGCCUGUUCGAGCGUCAUUACAACCCUCAGGCCCCCGGGCCUGGCGUUGGGGAUCGGCGGAGCCCCCCGUGGGCACACGCCGUCCCCCAAAUACAGUGGCGGUCCCGCCGCAGCUUCCAUCGCGUAGUAGCUAACACCUCGCGACUGGAGAGCGGCGCGGCCACGCCGUAAAACACCCAACUCUUCUGAAGUUGACCUCGAAUCAGGUAGGAAUACCCUCUGAACUUAAGCAUAUCAAUAAGCGGAGGA
rnacentral:misc_RNA from 1 species